rnacentral:rRNA from 1 species
CCAGACUCCUACGGGAGGCAGCAGUGGGGGAUAUUGCACAAUGGGGGGAACCCUGAUGCAGCGACGCCGCGUGAGUGAAGAAGUAUUUCGGUAUGUAAAGCUCUAUCAGCAGGGAAGAAGAAAGACGGUACCUGAGUAAGAAGCCCCGGCUAACUACGUGCCAGCAGCCGCGGUAAUACGUAGGGGGCAAGCGUUAUCCGGAUUUACUGGGUGUAAAGGGAGCGUAGACGGUAUGGCAAGUCUGAAGUGAAAGCCCCGGGCUCAACCUGGGAAUUGCUUUGGAAACUGUUAAACUAGAGUGCUGGAGAGGCAGGCGGAAUUCCUAGUGUAGCGGUGAAAUGCGUAGAUAUUAGGAGGAACACCAGUGGCGAAGGCGGCCUGCUGGACAGUAACUGACGUUGAGGCUCGAAAGCGUGGGGAGCAAACAGGAUUAGAUACCCCAGUA